CGCCCGCCCGCCCGCCCGCGCCCCCUCCGCGGAGCCCCGAGCGCGGCUCGACCCGGGCCGGCCACGCCGAGCACCCCACCCCGGGCCUGGGGCCUCGGGCCGGAGUGGCGCGGAGGCCGGCGAAGAUGGUGGCGGCUGCUCCGUCAUACACGUGGACCUAGCAGCACCCGAAGCUUUGCCCAACGAUACUGGCUGAGAAGGAAGUUUGCCUGCGUGGUGUCUGCCAAUUUGGAGGAAGAAAAGGAGCUGCUGCCUGCAUCUGGGCUUCCUCGCAAGGUACUGACGACACUCAAACCCCCAGCUGGUGGGCCUCAUUUGUGUGUGUACGAUUUUUGUGUGCCCCUUAAUGUGUGGAUUUGGGAAAGAGCCCACAUUCUAAUAGGGAUUGCUUAUAACUUUGAAGAAUGCUAUUCUUAAGGCUUAAAUCUGUACAGUUCUGAACUUGUUGCUUUUAGAUCCUUUUCUCCCGUUGGGUGUAAGCUGAAAUUUGUGUUUGUCACAGGUGCUAGGGCUUUGGGCUGCUGUUCUAAUUAUUUAUUUCAAAUUUAGCAGGAAUGCAGAGCGCGUCACCUUGUGAGACUGGAGACUGAUGGAGUCAGGAUAAUGUCAAAGUGCUUACAGUGCAGGUAGUGAUAUGCACAUCUACUGCAGUGCAGGCACUUGUGGCAUUAUGGUGACAGCCGCCUCGCUCGGGAGCCACGGUGGGCGCGGAGUGACAGCGAGGGCCGCCUGCUGGUGCUGAGUGCUUUUUGUUCUAAGGUGCAUCUAGUGCAGAUAGUGAAGUAGACUAGCAUCUACUGCCCUAAGUGCUCCUUCUGGCAUAAGAAGUUAUGUCGUCACCUAAUGGAGUCGAGCAAGCGUGUAGGGGUCUCUUAAUGGUCUCUGUCUGCAGCCCUCUGUUAGUUUUGCAUACUUGCACUACAAGAAGAAUGCAGUUGUGCAAAUCUAUGCAAAACUGAUGGUGGCCUGCUAUUAACUUCAAGUGUUGUGUUUUCCUUUUCCUUUUUGACUAAUGCUGUGCUUUGGUUGUGUCGAUUAGAGUCUGCGUGGUGUGUGUGACAGACAGCUUCUGUGGCACUAAAGUGCUUAUAGUGCAGGUAGUGUCCACUCAUCUACUGCAUUACGAGCACUUCCAGUGCUGCCAGCUGGAGAGCCCCAGCCUCGCUCGCCCGCUUGCCCGCUCGCCCUUCACCCACUCAAACGGUCCUGGUACUGAGCACUGGUCUAUGGUUAGUUUUGCAGGUUUGCAUCCAGCUGUAUAAUACUCUGCUGUGCAAAUCCAUGCAAAACUGACUGUGGUGGUGAAAAGUCUGUAGAACAGUGAGGGAAAAUCAAACCCCUUUCUACACAGGCUGGGAUUUGUUGCAAUGCUGUGUUUCUCGAUGGUAUUGCACUUGUCCCGGCCUGUUGAGUUUGGUGGGGAUUGUGACCAGAAGAUGUGAAAAUUAAAUAUUGCUGAAGAUGCCAUGCCGAUUUCCACUGUAAAAAUGUUAUGGUGUACGAACUCGUUGUAACUUUUAUUGCUUUCACUAGUGUAACACAAGUUUUUUUAUUGGAAUUAGGUUUUUAGUUUUACUAAACCAUUUCACUUGGGGUUUGCAUGUCUGGUUUACAGGUUUUUUGUGUGUGGGCUUAGAGACCCACAGGUAUUCUGGUAUGUUGUUACAGUGGUGCCCUACUCUUACUUGGAACCUAGAGGGUCCAGGUUUAUUUUACUCAAACCCUUAUUCAAUUGACAGGAGUUAACAAAACUAGUCUUUGAAUCACUGUGUAGAGAGGGUUUUUCUAUUAAAGUGUGACAUUUAGGAUGAGGUUUUUCUGGUGCUACUGUUGCUGAUGCGUGAGAUUGGUGGCAGCAGCUAACAGGUGGUUAGCUCUGUGUUGCUGGUGUGCAUGCCGUGUAAGUAGGACCUUCAAACUGUUAGCAUGUGCUGCCUGAAAAAGCAAAGAUGACGAACAAGGUGCACUGGAAUUCAUAUCAGAAAAUGUUUGCAGUUAGAGUUCCUGUGUCUAGAAUUGGGCAGCACUGUUGGUUCCAGGCUGUGUGAAAAGAUGCCAUUGGAAUGAAACCUAAGAAUAGUCAAAUGAAUAAGGGUGAGCCGUUAAACCAGAUCAGAGCUGAUAGUAUUUAGGCAAGUGUAUAACCCUGAAAAAAGGAUUGUCUUAAUUUGAAAUUUUCAUAGCCUUUGCUUUAGACCGCCCAAAGUUAAGUUUGCUGUCUCUUGUGUUCUGCUUUUUAAAAGAAAUGUAAGAAGCUUAAGUCUUGGAUUCCUGAGCAGCAAGGUAAGGACUUUGCAUAUGUGGAGUUGACUGUAAGAUACCAGGUUCAGGAUCAUCAGAAUUGUACAAUGAUUAAGAGUUCUUACACCUUAGGAGUGAAUUAAAGUUGCUUUAGGUGAUUACUUAAACAUUGUUUAACAUGGCAAGUCCUAUAAUAAUAUCAACAUGAUUCAUGUACUUCUAUAUAAAGGGGUUCUAUCAAUUGUGUAUUCUUAGUGUCAUUGGAUGGCAUUUGUGUUUAGAAUGUUGUUGACUUGAAUUGAGAUUUCAUUCUAGUAAGGAAAGUGAUAAAUACAUUUCCUUAUGGGCCUCACAGUAAAGCAGAGUUUUUUCCAAGAUUCUUUUCAGUUUUCACUUAAAAAGUUUGGCUCCACACUAAGAGCAUCAAGCAGAUCUAUAAAUUUUGUUUCAACAGAUGGGGAGACCACUUGAUGUCUUGUUUCUAAUUUAAAAACAGAUUAGGUCUUUACACAUUGAUGUUGGUGACUUAGGCCUGAAGGCUCUUUCAGGAAAGGAGACUUACUGUUUUCUUGUAUGUUGAAUGUAAAUAGUUCUUAAGUUUGUCCUGUACUAGGAAGGAGGCACUAUUAAGACUUUACAAAGUGUUGAUUUCACUAAAAGCCCUUGAGAUGUUCGUUUUCACAGGCAAGCCUAAGCACAGAAAACCAACCAGCUGGACUUUUCCUUCCCUGUGCGUGGUUUGAAGAGUCAGUGCUACGUAAUUCCUGACACAGUGCAACCUGCAGCUGCUGGGAGAGAGAACGAUUCAGGGUUACUAAGUCUGUUGUAUGUAUAUGGACUUCUGUUCUGUAACUGACACUAUGUGGUUGUCUGUCCUCAGAGCAUUAGUAGGUGAGUCAGGCUAAGCAGUGGAGAAACUCAGUGGGCAGGGUCCAUUCUGGGUGUCUUAAUGACUGCCAGUGAGCCCCCCGUCACCUUGUAUAGAGGUGUCUGCUUUGUCACAAUUCUGGGCUUUUCUGUUUGGGUAAGCAGUUUAUAUCAUAUUGCUAAUUUAUAAAGGAUCUGCUCAGAAAGUGCCCUGUGAAUUUUAAGGCAUGGAAGAUUGCUGCAGGGUUUCAGGGUCGUCCCCCCCACACACACACACCCCAUUAUCUGACAUGGGCAGAGCCUUCAGAGGUACAGGGCUAGCAUGGUGACAAACUUAGUGUUGUUCAGUGGUGCAUUUAAUCCUAAUAAAUGCUACCUUUUAAACUUCAUGUACAUAAUGAGUAUGUUGAAAUAAAGUUCACUUGUGGCACUGGUGCUCUUGUAUCUUUUUUUUUCCUACAAGUAGCCUGAAUGUGUUCCCUGUAGAGGGUGUGGGAACCAGUCUUUAAGCAUGGAGUUUGUAUUUCUGUCUUAGUUUUACAGGUAAGAAGAAGCAUUAGGAAAGGUGGUAUAUUCCCUUAAGUCAAACCAAAGGAUAAGGCACAUUAGGCCACCUUUCCAAAUAGACCAGAAGGGCUACCUUGAUUUGGGUUCCUACCAUGAUUUGGAGAGUCACUUUUGAUAUUAGCUGGGCAUGUAAAGUCAUUCUGACUAGGAUGUAUAUACAUGUCAGAAUGUAUUUAAGUGGUGUGCUAAGUUAAAAACUUGACUGGACUGAUGUUCCACAUGUGCAAAGCUGGUUAUAUUGUAAUGUAUUGAAAAUGUUUUUUAAGCAGUGUCACUGAAGAUUUACUACAUUAAUAGAUUUCCAAAAGUCAAGAUACAUUAGAAACAAGGUACCAAUAAAGGCCAUUGCUCAUGCAAUGGAAAUAAGUAAAUGCAAUGUGACUAUAGUACUUCUGUGUACUUCUGUGUAUGUUCAUCUUAUUGAUUAUUGAAUAAAGUACUAUUUGGCCAAUGAGGCAGCAAGUUAGACGGGAGUAGGAGUCAAAGAGGAUUCUGGGAAAUGUAGUAAAGAAGUCAUGAUCCAGGCAGAAAAUGACAUAGUAGGGAGACUCAUAUUUAAGGAAGGACAAGCAGGAGUGGCCCCUUUUCCCCUCCACUCUUCCUCCAGCGGUGCCAUGUGAUCCACCAGCGAGGGAGGACGCCAAUGGAAGGCGUCUAAUAAGUCUUAUAAAAUAUAUAGACAGGAUAAUUAAGACUGAGCUAAUAAGAUGAGAAUCCUAGUCAUUGGCCAAGUAGCGUUUGUACCUAAUGUUAGUCUGUGCAUAAAUUGGGGCCCUAACUUGGUGGGCAGAACUCAGUCUACGUGGCAGUAGGGCUCGGGCAGGUUUUGGCGGAAAGAUUCAUUGUAACAAGUAUUAUUGUAUAAAGUAUUGAACAUGAUUGAAAGUGAGUUUUGAGUUUGUUAAUGUGCAUACUUGCUGAGCCACAUGUCCUUGCUUAGGAUCUGACGGUAUGGAUAGAGGACCCCCCCUCCCUAGUAACAGCUAGAGAAGCUAGGACUUGCAGAGGAGUCGGCUCUAUGGAGGCUUGUGUGUGUCUUGGUUUAGUUCCUGAACAGAAGGCAUAGUGGGGAGGGGCAGGGACAGCAGGGUUGUCCACGUGAGUUGACUUAACAGAUGUCCUUUGGAGUGCUUGAGCAGUGGGUGAGAAAGGGUUGUCUGGGUUUUCCUGUGUAUGAUGUUGAGACCGAUGUAGGCCGUGUGCUGAGUUGUCCUAAGUCAUGAACCAUAAGAACACUUAGGAACCUUGAAGCAAUCCAUGCCUACAUGGAGGUAGAGUAAACGGAUGAGGUUUUGUGACACGGAUGUGUUCAGUUUCUUAGGUUUAUAGAUGAUUUGCUAGCUGCAAAGUAGAAUUUUUUUGUGUAUAGCACUUUUUUUUUCUACAGUUCGAGAUAGUAAUGGCCAGUUUUUAAGCCCUCAACAGCAGUUAGCGUAAUUGAAAAUUGCACUUAAUACUGACUUCCAAAGAUUUGAGCCUUUAUGCCAGAAAUGUACACAUGUGUUUUACAUGGUACUGUUUUUCUAGUUUCUCUGGCCCCAAACUUCAAAUCUGCCCCCUGUGUUUUCAAAUGGUAGCUAAAGUUCUAAGGUCCACUUAGUGUUUUCUUUCAGCUUGAGAGCUCUGUUUGACCACCACCGUGUGUGCACACAUCCUCUGCUCCCUGCCUUUACCUUUUUAGGUGGGCUCAUGGUGAACUUGCUCAUAUCAGCCUAGCUCCUCAAGUGUGUGUGUUAGAUCAAUCUCCACAGGACAAGUUAUCACCUGGCAUAUUGGAAAUGGAGAAGAAAUCUGAGGUGCUUUUCCAAGCCUCAUUGAUGCCUUCAUUCUUAUCGGUGGGAUGUGUGCCUGCUUCCAGCCAACAGUGGUAAUGUGUAAACUUGAGCCCAACGCAUAGAAUGUAAAGCCUCACUCUCCUGGUGUGUACAGCUCACAGACCUUCAAGAAAGUAGAUGUGCCUGUGCGUUAGUGCUGCUGGAAUGCAAAGAGCUUGAGGGAGUGAGUAGAGUGGGUAGAAUGUGAUCAACCAAAGCAAGCUGUAUGAAGGCAAGUUGGCAAGUGGGAGUGUUGGUUUCUACAGAAGAUUGGUAGAACUUAGCAGAAAUAAGUGCUAAUGACCCAGAAAAACAGUGUCAACUACUGGGAGUGUUUGGACAGUGCGUUUUCAGGGACUGAGAAUCAGCUUGAACCCUUAGCAAAUUUAAUGCUCAGGCUGCUUAUGACUUCCAUAAAAUACUGCAGUGGUUGGACUUAGGACCUUUUUUUCGUGUUGGGGUUUAUCUGUGUGGACCAGGUUGUCCUUGAUUCGCCUGCCCCCAAGUGCUGGGAUUAUAGACAUGCUUUCACUGCCCAACUGGUUUCUCAAAUCUCAAACCUAUAUUAGGGCCUGAACAUGGUGUUUGGUUUAGUGGGGGAGGGCAGUUUGUACAGUAUGCUCUGACCAUUCAUCCAAACCAGUAGCUUCAACUUGAUCUGGUCUGUUUUGUGCUACCCCUAAACUGCUCAGUGGAGCCACCCACUGGAGCAUGGUCAACCUACCAACAGUCUUUAAAACUUGACUACCCCACAGGCCCUCCAUGUCUGCAUUCCUCAGUGUGGGGCUGAGGCACCUGAGCCUCUUGCUCCUUCUGAGCAUGGAGAUGGCAGCCACAGCUACAUGGUAAGUUGUAGGCUAUGUGAAACCCUAUACCAAAACUGCAGCCACAGCCCAAGUUCUCCCUCUGCUCACCAGUCUUGUAUUCUGCAUUGGUACAUGUGUCGGUGCUAAUUAACUGCAAGUCUUCCUGCAUGGGGUUUCCAAGCAGACCAGGAACACAGGUGCUAGCACCUAGGGACAAAGCCAAUGAUGUCGGAAAUUUUUGUGAUGUGUGUAGUUAAAAUGAAGAAACAAGGAACCUUCUCAGAUUACAAAAUUACAGCAAAUGAUUUUCUUGGAACUUUGUAGUUUAAUGGUUUAUUGCCCCUGUAAUGUGUAAGCUCCAGUUUGAAGACCGCCCUUCUGAGUUACCGUGUGCUACUUGGCUAACAGGUUAAGUGUAAGAAGCCAAGGUUUUCCCACAUUGAAUGCUUAACCAGAUCAUCUCCCAAGAAGAGCAAGGCUUUAUUUUUCUCUAGAUUUUUUUAAAAUUUCAAUUUGAAGCAAUCUUACUUUACAUAGCAAAUUACAGCUCCUUCUCCCCUGCCCCCCAACCUCCCAUCCCACCUCCUUUCUGCUCCCCAGGGAGGGUGAGGCCUUCCAUGGGGCACUGAAAAGUAACCCUGUCACAUCAUUUGGGGCAGGGCCUAGGCCCUCUCCUAUGUAUCUGGGCUGAGAGAUUAUCUAUGGGGAAUGGACUACCAAAAUCCAUUUAUCCCAUGGGAUAAAUACUGUUCCACUACCAGAGGCUCCAUAGGUUGUCCAGGCCUUGUAACUGACACCUGUGUUCAGGGGGCCUGGUUUCCCAAUUGUCAAGUUGGGGACCAUGAACUUCACCCUUGUUCAGGUCAGCUGUUUCUGUGGGUUUCCCCAGUAUGGUCUUGACCCCUUUGCUCAUCACUCCUCCCUCUCUACAACUGGGUUCCAGGAGUUCAGCUCAGGUGUUUGGUGAGGAGGGGAGAAUGUAGGUGGUGGCCUUGGCUUGCCUACAGUGCGCUUUGCCCACCCAUAGUGUAGUCUAUUGCUUGUAGGUCUCAAAUGCCCUGUGGGAAAGGCCUCUGCUGCCCUAUUGAGUUGAUUUAGUAAAUGGUUGGAUUCUUUCAUUGUCUUUGAUUUUGUUCCUGCAGUGCCUUAUCUUAAGAUUACAGCCACAGUUUUCAGCUCUCUGGACCAGAAGUCUUGAGGUGGAUCUCAUUAGGCUUGAGAUUUGGAUAUUAGAAUGGAAAUGGUAUCAACAAGUCUGUUUCUGCAGCUCUAGGGGAUAUAGAGUUUCCUUGUCUCAGUCUAGCGGCUGCAUUUCUUGACUUCAUCUUUGCACAUGUAUCUCCUAUCCUCUUUCUCUUAGCCUUGACUCCAUCUGCCUCCUUUGCUGUGUAAGACAGUUGUAUGUUCCAUAGACAGUACUUUGUUUUCAUGGAAUCAUGUUGACUUUGUGUCUAUAGUCCUUUGUAACUCCUAGGGUUACAGAGUCCAGGAACGUUUGAUGCUCCUGAAGAUUUUUCCUUGUUGGCGUUUACUACCCUCUUAGAGCAAUGUAAGAAAAAGAUGGCAAGCCACAGUUGCCACUGGGUAAAAGCAAGCUCUGCUAGAAUGGAAGGGGCGUGCAGUGUUUCUCACUAGAGCUUUCUAGAAAGAGUGGUCCCCAGUCAGUUAACAGGCUAAUAAAGGUCUCUAGAAUAGGGAGGGAAAGGAAUAGAAAUAUUUGCUAGCCAAUACCAUGUAUAAACAUUCAAUCCAGGAUUGUUUUUCAGUAUGAAAAGAGACUGCUGUCAGGGUUUGAAAGUGUCAACUGCCUCCAAACUGGGCAAUGAGACCCUUCUGCAGGCAAGUUAAGAAAUAAUUUGUUAAAAGUGCUAGAACUAACAGUUUAUAAAGGACAAGAAGAAACUUUUAGAUGUAUUUAAGCUUUAUAACAUGGAAUCCUGGAUUAAUUUUGGCCAUUGGGAAUGUAGACAGCUAGACAAACGUGUCUUCAAAUUCUAUUAAACCUAGGUCCCUGAAAACAAAACAAAAAUCUUAAUUUGUUUCCCUUAAAAUGUAUGUAAAAUAGUAAGUAUCUGUAAGGUUUAAGUGUUGUGUGGUCAGUGCAAUCUUGGAUUUUAUUGCUAUUGUAUUUCUAUAAAGUUCUUCGAUGCCCUAGACUGUUUUGUUGUAGAGACUGAAGAGUGUUUAUGUUAGGGAAAGGGACAGCAGAGGAAUACAUACAAUAGUGGCUAAGGGGUAUCUGAUACAAAAGGAAAACUCCUCGGCCUGUUACAUGUGCUGUGCAUGAGUGACAUGCAUGGUUGAAAGGGCAGGUAAUAGAAAAUGUGCCUGGGUAAGAGUUCAGAGCAACUCUCAGAAGCAGCUACCACACUAACACUUUUACACAGACCUUCAAUCCCAGCAUUCUGGAGCGAGUUUAGACCAGCUUGGGCUACAUACUGAAUUUAAGGCUAUCUUUGGCAAUUACAGACACCCUGUCUACAAAGAAACAUUAAAUCCAGUUUUUCUGGUGUUUUAAGUAAAGAAGAGGCUUGGAGAUUGCGCAGAAGUUAAGAGCUCUCAAAGAGGACCAAGGCUCAAUUCCUGGUAUCCCUAGUAUCCACAUGGUGGCUCUCAACCAUGCAUAACUCCCAGGAGUUCCAGUCCUCUUCUGGCACCAGACAUACACAUACAAUACAUACAUGCGUACUGGCAGGCAUCACAUUCAUGUACAUGAAACAUGAGUCCAUGACCUCAAGAUGAAUUUCUGCUGUUUUUCAGCAGAUGGCCAUGGUCUAACUAAUGUGUGACCCUGUGCUAGAGGCUAGGAAUCUUUAAAGACACUGACUUUGGAGAGAAGUCCCAUCCAUGCAUGCAUAAGAUGGGAACUAGUAUAACAAAAUGAUGAUGAGCCACCAGACUCAAGUUAGCAAGUUAGCACCAGAGGAGGUCCUAGCAAGGAAUACUAACAUGAUAUUCUGACGUCCUGUGUGUAAGCACCUGUUUUUGAAGGGGAAGUUCUCACGGGCAGCUCCUAGGGCCCUCUGCACAACGAGUGGACUACAGGUAAUGAAGAUUGGCUUCAGCCAGAUAUAGGAAGAUUCAUGAGUGUGG
rnacentral:lncRNA from 1 species